rnacentral:tRNA from 1 species
GGUGACUCAGUGUUUGAGUGCUUGCCUUGCAUGCAUGAGGCCCUGGGUUCGAUUCCUCAGCACCA